rnacentral:rRNA from 1 species
UUUCGCAAUGCCCGAAAGGGUGGCGAAGCGACGCCGCGUGUGGGAAGAAGGCCUUCGGGUUGUAAACCACUGUCGGGAGUUAGGAAAUGCAGGUGCGUUAAUAGCGCACUUGCUUGACUAAGGCUCCAGAGGAAGCCACGGCUAACUCUGUGCCAGCAGCCGCGGUAAUACAGAGGCGGCAAGCGUUGUUCGGAAUUAUUGGGCGUAAAGAGCGCGUAGGCGGCCUUGCAAGUCAGUUGUGAAAGCCUUCCGCUUAACGGAAGAACGGCAUCUGAUACUACAGGGCUUGAGUACGGGAGGGGAGAGUGGAACUUCUGGUGGAGCGGUGAAAUGCGUAGAUAUCAGAAGGAACGCCGGCGGCGAAAGCGACUCUCUGGUCCGAAACUGACGCUGAAUGUGCGAAAGCUAGGGGAGCAAACGGGAUUAGAUACCCCGGUAGUCCUAGCCGUAAACGAUGGGCACUAAGUAGAGGGGUUUU